AUUGAACGCUGGCGGAAUGCUUUACACAUGCAAGUCGAACGGUAGAGGGGGCAACCCCUCGAGAGUGGCGAACGGGCGAGUAAUAUAUCGGAACGUGCCCAGUCGUGGGGGAUAACGUAGCGAAAGUUACGCUAGUACCGCAUACGAUCUACGGAUGAAAGCGGGGGAUCGCAAGACCUCGCGCGAUUGGAGCGGCCGAUAUCAGAUUAGGUAGUUGGUGGGGUAAAGGCUCACCAAGCCAACGAUCUGUAGCUGGUCUGAGAGGACGACCAGCCACACUGGAACUGAGACACGGUCCAGACUCCUACGGGAGGCAGCAGUGGGGAAUUUUGGACAAUGGACGCAAGUCUGAUCCAGCCAUUCCGCGUGCAGGAUGAAGGCCCUCGGGUUGUAAACUGCUUUUGUACGGAACGAAAAGGUUUCCAUUAAUACUGGGAGAUCAUGACGGUACCGUAAGAAUAAGCACCGGCUAACUACGUGCCAGCCGCCGCAGUAA
rnacentral:rRNA from 1 species